UGAAAAGGGGCUCAAAGAUGGCUUCAUUCUGAAAAGCAUGGAGGGUAUUAUGGGUUGCUUGAACAAUAGGAGAAUUCUCAUACAUUGCAUUCUUGCUGGCAGCCACUCUGCAUGUAGUAGAUCUAUCAAAGUGAGUUCACAACAGAGCAGCUGCCUUAGGGACAGCCUAAUAGCUUUUCUAUUACUCCAACCUCCUCUAUUUACUCUCUUGUCAUAAAUUUGCAAGGUAACCUGCUUAGUUUGCAGUCUGU